ACGGGUGAGUAACACGUGGGAACGUACCCUUUGGUUCGGAAUAACGCUGGGAAACUAGCGCUAAUACCGGAUACGCCCUUUUGGGGAAAGGCUUGCUGCCGAAGGAUCGGCCCGCGUCUGAUUAGCUAGUUGGUGGGGUAAUGGCCUACCAAGGCGACGAUCAGUAGCUGGUCAGAGAGGAUGAUCAGCCACACUGGGACUGAGACACGGCCCAGACUCCUACGGGAGGCAGCAGUGGGGAAUAUUGGACAAUGGGCGCAAGCCUGAUCCAGCCAUGCCGCGUGAGUGAUGAAGGCCUUAGGGUUGUAAAGCUCUUUUGUCCGGGACGAUAAUGACGGUACCGGAAGAAUAAGCCCCGGCUAACUUCGUGCCAGCAGCCGCGGUAAUACGAAGGGGGCUAGCGUUGCUCGGAAUCACUGGGCGUAAAGGGCGCGUAGGCGGCCAUUCAAGUCGGGGGUGAAAGCCUGUGGCUCAACCACAGAAUUGCCUUCGAUACUGUUUGGCUUGAGUUUGGUAGAGGUUGGUGGAACUGCGAGUGUAGAGGUGAAAUUCGUAGA
rnacentral:rRNA from 1 species